rnacentral:pre_miRNA from 1 species
CUUGUACUCCCUCCAUCCGGAAAUACUUGUCAUUGAAAUGGAUGUAUCUAGAUGUAUUUUAGUUUUAGAUACAUCCAUUUUGAUGACAAGUAAUUCUGGACGGAGGGAGUACAUG